rnacentral:rRNA from 1 species
CGGAGGGUGCAAGCGUUAUCCGGAUUUACUGGGUUUAAAGGGUGCGUAGUGGGUCUGUAAGUCAGUGGUGAAAUCUCCGGGCUUAACCCGGAAACUGCCAUUGAUACUAUAGGUCUUGAAUACUCUGGAGGUAAGCGGAAUAUGUCAUGUAGCGGUGAAAUGCUUAGAUAUGACAUAGAACACCAAUUGCGAAGGCAGCUUACUACGGGGUCAUUGACACUGAGGCACGAAAGCGUGGGGAUCAAACAGGAUUAGAUACCCUGGUAGUCCACGCCCUAAACGAUGGAUACUCGACAUCAGCGAUACACUGUUGGUGUCUGAGCGAAAGCAUUAAGUAUCCCACCUGGGAAGUACGAUCGCAAGAUUG